GAUCCUGCUCAGGAUGAACGCUGGCGGCAUGCCUAAUACAUGCAAGUCGAACGAGAGGAAGGAAAGCUUGCUUUUCUAAAUCUAGUGGCGAACGGGUGAGUAACACGUAGGUAACCUGCCCAUGUGCCCGGGAUAACUUCUGGAAACGGAUGCUAAAACCGGAUAGGUAGCAGACAAGCAUUUGACUGCUAUUAAAGUGGCUAAGGCCAUGAACAUGGAUGGACCUGCGGUGCAUUAG
rnacentral:rRNA from 1 species